GAUGAACGCUAGCGGCAGGCCUAACACAUGCAAGUCGAGGGGUAUAGUUCUUCGGAACUAGAGACCGGCGCACGGGUGCGUAACGCGUAUGCAAUCUACCUUUUACAGGGGAAUAGCCCAGAGAAAUUUGGAUUAAUGCCCCAUAGUGUUAUAGAAUCGCAUGGUUUUAUUAACUAAAAGUUACCAACCGGUAAAAGAAUGAGCAUGCGUCCCAUUAGUUAGUUGGUAAGGUAACGGCUUACCGAGACAAUGAUGGGUAGGGGGUCCGUGAGAGGGAGGAUCCCCCACCACUGGUACGUGAGACACGGACCAGACUCCUA
rnacentral:rRNA from 1 species